CUUUUAUGGAGAGUUUGAUCCUGGCUCAGGACGAACGCUGGCGGCGUGCCUAAUACAUGCA
rnacentral:rRNA from 1 species